rnacentral:rRNA from 1 species
UACGAAGGGGGCUAGCGUUGCUCGGAAUUACUGGGCGUAAAGGGCGCGUAGGCGGCCGAUCAAGUCAGGCGUGAAAUUCCCGGGCUCAACCUGGGGGCUGCGCUUGAGACUGGUUGGCUAGAGGCCGAGAGAGGGUGGUGGAAUUCCCAGUGUAGAGGUGAAAUUCGUAGAUAUUGGGAAGAACACCGGUGGCGAAGGCGGCCACCUGGCUCGGUACUGACGCUGAGGCGCGACAGCGUGGGGAGCAGACAGG